CGCGUAGGUGGCCAAUUAAGUCAAAUGUGAAAUCCCCGAGCUUAACUUGGGAAUUGCAUUCGAUACUGGUUGGCUAGAGUAUGGGAGAGGAUGGUAGAAUUCCAGGUGUAGCGGUGAAAUGCGUAGAGAUCUGGAGGAAUACCGAUGGCGAAGGCAGCCAUCUGGCCUAAUACUGACGCUGAGGUACGAAAGCAUGGGGAGCAAACA
rnacentral:rRNA from 1 species